rnacentral:rRNA from 1 species
GAUGAACGCUAGCGGCAGGCUUAAUACAUGCAAGUCGAGGGGCAGCACAGGUAGCAAUACUGGGUGGCGACCGGCAAACGGGUGCGGAACACGUACGCAACCUUCCUUUAAGCGGGGGAUAGCCCAGGGAAACUUGGAUUAAUACCCCAUAAGACAAUGGUGUGGCAUCACACAGUUGUUAAAGCUCCGGCACUUAAAGAUGGGCGUGCGGCUGAUUAGGUAGUUGGCAGGGUAACGGCCUACCAAGCCUACGAUCAGUAACUGGUGUGA